CUCUUGCAAGGCUAGGGUUUUAAUCUUCAUUAAUUAGCAUGUUAUAAUCAUUUAAGUAUUUGCACAGAUUCUGCACUUAGAGGGUUUGGAUUUACUUUGAUAUUAAGUCCUGAAACUUGCUGAAAAUGUGUUUGUAAAGCUGAAACUGUAUCUUAUUUGCUUAAAAUAUGGCCUUGAGUGUUGGAAUAUGAGUUCAUAUUGCUGAAACCAAAGGUUGCAAAGCAGAAUGAUUUCUUGCAGAAGAGUGCAUUUGUCCAUGACAUUUUGCAGAAGACAUAUGAAGAAACCUGUGGGAGCAAAUUAUUAAGAACGCCACGAUCAAGAUUUUGAGAACUAUGUAAUUCUUGAAGGUUGUCCAAUAUCAGCUGGCACAUCAAUUACAUUGAAUGAUGAUCUAUUGGAAAGUGCACAUCGUUAUGUGUUAUUCAAUACAGCAAUUGUGGAACCAUAUUUAGAGAUAUAUCAAGAGGAGCUAAGGCAAUCCAAUCCAAGCCUUCGUCUACAAAAAAAUAAAAGUCUACUUUUGAGGAGACACGCCAAAAACUUUUCAAAGUGGUUGAAAGAAUAGGUUUAUGUUUAUUUUUAUUGAGGUGUGUGAAGCAAAAAAUAUAAAGAAAGGUUAUAAUCUCGGCAAAGAAGUAAGCUUCAAGUAAAGAAAAUCUGUGGAAUGAGAUAGUUGGCCUACCCUCUAUACCUUGGGUUUCUAUAUGGGCGGCGAAGACAAUCAAGUCGAACUAGGUCCAUACCCUGUUAAUAUCAAGUGCUAUCGUUUAGGGAACAAAAUUGGGUCUGCAUUCCCCAUCGUAGAAAGCUGAUGCAAACUGAACUGAAACUCAUAGUUUUUGUUUACCUAAGGUGUCUCAUGGCUCCAAAAGAGACUAAUAUAUAUGUUGCAGGCUGAGAAUGUAUGACAACAGUUUGUGAUUCCAGUCAGUCUAUCAAGAUUUGUACUUACCCAGCUUUCUUAUAAAAUGCAGAAACUUUCUGUUAAAGUUAUGUUUAAAGAUUGUACUUAACUUUUGGCAUUAGAUUGUGGCUUGUUUGUUAGA